rnacentral:rRNA from 1 species
UACGUAGGGGGCAAGCGUUGUCCGGAUUUACUGGGCGUAAAGGGCGCGUAGGCGGCGCAACAAGUCACUUGUGAAAUCUCCGGGCUUAACCCGGAGCGGCCAAGUGAUACUGUCGUGCUAGAGUGCGGAAGGGGCUACUGGAAUUCUCGGUGUAGCGGUGAAAUGCUUAGAUAUCGGGAGGAACACCAGUGGCGAAGGCGGUGCUCUGGGCCGGAACUGACGCUGAGGAGCGAAAGCGUGGGUAGCAAACAGG